rnacentral:rRNA from 1 species
UACGUAGGGGGCAAGCGUUGUCCGGAUUUAUUGGGCGUAAAGAGCGUGUAGGCGGCUUGGUAGGUCCGCUGUGAAAACUCGAGGCUCAACCUCGAGAUGUCGGCGGAAACCACUUGGCUAGAGUCCGGAAGAGGAGAGUGGAAUUCCCGGUGUAGCGGUGAAAUGCGCAGAUAUCGGGAAGAACGACCCGUGGCGAAGGCGGUUCUCUGGGACGGUACUGGACGCUGAGACGCGAAAGCGUGGGGAGCGAACAGG